rnacentral:misc_RNA from 1 species
GAUGAAGAACGUAGCGAAAUGCGAUACGUAGUGUGAAUUGCAGAAUUCCGUGAACCAUCGAAUCUUUGAACGCAAAUUGCGCUCGAGGCCUUGGCCAAGAGCAUGUCUGCCUCAGCGUCGGCUACUACCCUCAACCAAGUUCCCUAUUGUCAUAGGGGAUGCCGGUUGGAUCUGGCCGUCCAGCAUGCCUUUUAGGCUGCCGGUCAGCUGAAAUACAUUCACGCUUUGGGAGCUGCUUUCCUUUCUAGGAAAGGCGAGUUCCGAUUUGGUAGGUGACCUUUGCCGGUUACAUGCCUUCGUUGCCCGCUAAGUUACCCAGUAUGCGUUGUGCAGGACGCCUUUUUGGCUUUCGACCUGAGGUCAGGCAAGAACACCCGCUGAACUUAAGCAUAUCAAUAAGCGGAGGA